rnacentral:rRNA from 1 species
AGAGUUUGAUCCUGGCUCAGGACGAACGCUGGCGGCGUGCCUAAUACAUGCAAGUCGAGCGGUCCCUUCGGGGAUAGCGGCGGACGGGUGAGUAACACGUAGGCAACCUACCUGUAAGACUGGGAUAACUAUCGGAAACGAUAGCUAAGACCGGAUAGCUGGUUCUCUCGCAUGAGGGGAUCAUGAAACACGGGGUAACC